CAAUUGGAGAAUCAGAGGAUAGC
rnacentral:siRNA from 1 species